UUUUCUUUUUCUGUUAUCCCCUUUACACGUGCCGUCAUUAUACCAUCUUCGUUUUCCUUUUCCAUGUUGGAUGAGUUGAUACGUGUCCAAAACACGUGUUAUAUUCCUAUGUUUUUCCACUGACUAUCACCGCUUUUAUUCUUUCUCCAAACCUCUCCCUGUAUCCCUUCUAUAAACUCCCAUUCCUUUUCACAAACAAAUGUCUUCUCUCCCACUUGUCUUCUUCUUUAUUAAAUCCAAUGUCGCCUUCAUCUUUAGCUGUCACCCGGAAAACCACAAGUUAGAGGUUAGGGCUCGACGGACUACUUUUGUAAGGAAAGAUUUCUAAGAACCGGGGCAUAGUUAGUUGGAAGAGAAGAAAGGCAGCGAGACUGUUGCCACCUGCAACAACGGUGGUGUCUGCUGGAUAAGGAAGUGAUAUCGGUGGCUUCAAUACUUCAAGAAAACAUCUAUAAACUUUCUACUUGGAGAUAGAGAUCAUGGAACCCUCAAUUGAUCAACUUCAGGUCCGUUUUACACCGUCGAUUUUUGCCCCCUUCCAGCUUUAUCAUUUUCUCAGUAGGUCACAUCCCAGGAUUCGUAGAAAAAAAAAGGAAUCGAUUGUCAGCGGUUUUGUUUUUUAAGGAUUCCUGAAAGCAGAAUAUCCUAUUUCUUUAUCAAACUCGGUAGGAUGAUGAAUUCAACCUCUAUUUAGGUAUAUAUAUACUUAUGUUCUUGUGUUCCGUUUUCUGUAUUAUUUUUCAUUGGAUGUUGUCUUCGGAAUCCUUUAGAAUAUUUCCGAACAGAAUAGAUAUUGGUAUAUUUUUUAUUGGAAAAAGAAAAUGGAUGUGGGUGUCCUGGAUUGUUUCAAGAAAUCAAAUCAAAGGUUUGUUAUCAACUGUUGACUGUUGUCAAUGCCCACAUUCUGGUCAACAGAGGGUGUUUACUUUGCUGCUGCACAUACGUUUGCUUCCACUGGAUUGGUUGUUGUUUCAGGGGUUCUGGCUAUCAAAAGUUGGAGCAGAAUUUAGGUGGAGGUAUGCUUUUUUUUUUAGUGAGGCGAUUUUAAUGUUCCUUUUGAGGUACAAUGCCUUAAUUGUAAAAUAAGUAAACUUACAAUUCUGAUUUUGUAAUGUUUUUCUAUAUAUGGACAAAUUACGUAAACUUUUUUCUACAAUAUGGACCAUUUCUAUAAUGUUUUUAUACUAUGGAGAACGACUUGGUAA